rnacentral:lncRNA from 1 species
AAUGUGCCAAACGCACAAUAAAUAAAGUGCUAAGCUGACUUUUUCGUAAAUUUUUUUAAAAGAUGUAAUUAGUAGUUAUUGAAUAAAAAUAUAAAAUUAAUUAAAUAUUAACCGUGUAUUGGUAUAAAUGCAUGUGUGACAACAUAUUAUAAAAAGUUUAACACAAAUCACUGAGCAUUAAUCCAAAUCACAAUUUCUCAUCCCAUCUAAAUUAACCUUUGUGAAAGUUGGAAUUUUUUUGCGAAGCAUAUCGAGUUUGAAGUAAAGGACAAAUUUUGUAACGUAGAUAAAAGUAAAACUAUAGCGAUACCCAUGCAUCACAGCAAUGCCCUAAUUAUUUUAAGCAAAAAAUCAGACAACUUCAUUUCUGUACUAUCACAUCAGCUCAUAGUCAUAGACUAGGGUUCUCAAAUGGGUCCAAUGCUUGGAAAAUUGAGUGAGUAGACUGUAGACCACAAUAGGACCUAAUUUUUAUACUCUUAAGUCAAACCUUCAAAUGGAGGAUCAAACAUAGUCUAAGAAAGUGGACCUAGGUUAGCUUAGCACUAUUCUUCAUUUCACACUUCAUCCCUGACUGCAUUUCAUUUAGAUCUUAUUAAUAAAAUUAAAAUUUUUAAAAAUAAUAAUUAAUUAAUAUAAUUGUUCACCUUUGUUAUUGCAUGCCCAAUUAGUGCCCUACCAUAAUCUCGUUGUCUCACAUCACUCUAUCUUCUUUAGUUGAUUCCCGCUGCUCGAGAGAUAGGAACUUUAUUAGAAUGUUGUGACUAAAAACAGGUUAUACUUUUUUUUCUUUUUUACUGAUUUUCAAGAUAAAUAAUAAUUAAUUGACUUUUGUUAAGUUACAAUUCAUAUAAUUUACAUUGCCCUUAAAACAUGCAAAAAAGAGUAAAAUGAAAGUGGAGUCUACUGCAUUCUUGCAUGGGUUAUAAGUUACUUAACGAGAUCCUAAUUGAUUUAUGUAUAUAGAAAUUGGCGAGUCAUCAUUUUAAAAACUGUAGAGACAUGUGAGGAAAAUUUUUAUGAGUUAUGCUGUAAAAUGCUUUUCAUAUAAAUACUUAAUAAGAAGCAUUUUUUUAUUAAUAUUAAAAUUAAAUGUCGCAAAUGAUCUCAAAAUUUUGAGAUAAUUGCAUGAUCAUGAUUUCUUGAUUAUUAUAUUAUUNNNNNNNNNNNNNNNNNNNNNNNNNNNNNNNNNNNNNNNNNNNNNNNNNNNNNNNNNNNNNNNNNNNNNNNNNNNNNNNNNNNNNNNNNNNNNNNNNNNNAAAUCACCUAUUAUUCAUGUGGUAAAUGACUUAUUUUCAUCCUGUACUUCUAAUUGUGGGUAAUAAUAAUUGAAGAUUCAACAAACUUGAAUGUCUUAAUCUGAAGUGACCUUUUUUUUUUUAAUUUGUAAAUCAAAAUAUUAAGUUGUUUGUAGUAUAUUAUGAGAGGUCUAAAUUAUUAGAAAUCUUAGUAGUUGUACCCAUUAGUAUCUAACAAAACAAUAUACUAAUCGAAAACGUUAACAUACACAAUAAUAUAACACCCUUUUAGAUAUUAUACCAAUCUAGGAAUUAGAAAUUAAUUUGACGGUAUAGAAAAAAGAAAGUGAGAAGAUCAUGAUAUGUAUAUAUCUUUUCUUACUUUUGAGAUAUUGUCCUACAAUAGUCGUAGUAGCAGAGGGUUCAUGGAUAAUUCAUACAAUAGACAUAUGGGUUAAUGUGAUCCAUCAUUGUACAUGAUGGUAUUAGUAGUGCACUCCUGCUGGCAGUCCUCCUUUUUUAUUUCUUUCCCAUAUAUUUGGUUUGCUUAUAACAUAGUCAAACAAAAUUUUAUACUUUUUAAACAUAAGCUGAAUAUUUAUUUAAUCUCAACUCCUCCUGAAUAUAUAUAUAUAUAUAUAUAUAUAUAUAUAUAGAAAAUGUGUGCGUGUGUUUUAGUUAUGAAUCCAUAGUUUAUUUAUACACACAUAAAGAUUUCUUAUUUAGUGCCAAUUUCUAUUUUUAAGUUGUUGGAAUUUUCUUUUUUUCUUUUUAACUUAGCCUACAAAGACAAUAAGAUACUAACUUCCAAAGUUAAGUAAAUGAACAAUAUUUUAUUUAUGUAUUUUUCUUAAAUAUUUAAAUGGGGAUAAGAAAUCUCUUCCACUAAAUAUAAAUUUUUACCUUCAAUUAUUACUCAAAUUCGAAUUACCGCGAAUAUACAAUAUAUUUAUGACUGAUUAAGCUACGCCAGGAAGCAUGGGUGUUGUUCAACACACACUCAUUAAGCUGCGCCACAGAGCAUGGAUGUUGUUGAACACACACUCAUUUUCUAUUAAUUUCCCGCAAAAUUUAUUAUUUCAGCCUUCAAAUUUCAUUAUUGAAUGGGUGUUCUUAAGAAUGUUAAAUUUCAGAAAAUUAAUGUGUGUUUUGGAAAAGAAAAAUACAAAUUUAAAAAAUUUAAAAUAAUGUCCGAAAUACGCGACACCUAAAUAGGACAGUAAAACAUUAGCAUCAACUAUCAAGUGAUGAUAAUUCAAUUGAAUUGAUAAAUGAAAGUGAUGCAGCCUAAUCUAGAGAAGACAAGUAUCCAACGGUUGAGGUCAUUCAAGGGAUGGCCCACCAGAGUAGUGAUAGAUGAAAUGACUAAUGUAGGCCAUUAGAAUUGACAUCAACAGUAACCACCAAACCAAACAUAGACUCUGUUGAAUAUGACUUUCAGCUUAAAACUUUACUCAAUUUCCAUAUAUAUAUAUAUAUAUAUAAUUAAGAUAUAUAAAAUUAUAUAUAUCUGUUUCCUUUGACUUCAGAAAUCAGAAGAGCAGGUGAAGCCUAAAAGAUCACUCUUUCUUGAUUUCAUCCAUCAUGUUGAAUUAUUGAUGGGUUCCUAACUUCUUCAAUAGCAUGUGUCAACAUUUUUUUUUUUCUCUUAAAAAAAAUCAAAUUCUUGGAUACAUUUGAAUUACUUUAAGUAGAUAUAAUGAAUUAUUUAUUUUUUCCUUUUUGUUUUAGUAAUUUCUAUAAGAAAUAACUUGGUGAAUAAUCAUAUAAGUGAUGCGAUUUUAUGAUAUAUGUUGAAUGAAAUUGAAAUUGUAUGUUAAUUAAUCAAACAAUAACAUGCGCAUUAAGUUAUUUUAUGUAAUUUACGAGCUCAAUUUUAAAGGUUUUAAAUUUUUAAUGUUUAUCUUUACAGUGAAAAAAAUUUAAUCAUUAUUUUCUGAUCAUGGUGUUAAUUUGCAUUUCUAGUAUUACUUUCAACUUUAUGUUUGAUAAAUUAGAAGUAAAAUAUUAAAGAAUGAAAACGAAUAAAGAAAGAAAAUUUCAAUUUCUUUAUAGGAUCCAUUGAACAAAUCAAUGGAAUAAAGGAAAAGUAAAGAAUAUGUAAUUUACUUUAGUGAUUCGUCCUAUGAUUAUUAUAAACACAUUUAAAUUAAGCUAAUUAAACAGGUAGUAACUGCAUAAAUAAAUAAAUGUUCAUAAAAAAGCUGCUGUUCAGACUCAGUACAUGAUUCUGAACUCGACAAGUGCCCGUGGGUUGAGGCAAUGCAAGGACCCCAAAAAAAGGCAAAAAAACAGAGGACUCUUGGCAGAGAAGAGACGACAGUACGGUUUAAGCGUGAAAAGAGAGAAAGACAUCUCGGAAAUUUCUUCCUCCAUUCAUCAAUGCUCCGUGCCUCAGGCUAAGUAAAAAGAAUAAUAAGAGUACGUGAAUUCAAAAAAAGAACGAAAUCUCUGCGACCAUUUAAUUUGAAAAUAAAUAUCAAAUUAAACACACGUUUUUGUGUUUAAAAUGAUGCUGCGACCAUUUAAUUUGAAAAUAAAUAUCAAAUCAGAUACACGUUUUUGUGUUUAAAAUGAUAACAAACCCUCAAAAUUCGUCAGCAAAGAGAGUGGUGUGUCCUACAAGGAUUUGUAUAAAUUUUAACAAUUAUUUUUAAAUAAUCACAUAAAUUUCUAUUUACGGCACUCCUACUCAAUUAUAUGUUUAUAAAUAACUGGAAGGAUAGUCAAAAUUUAUUUGAAAAGAGGCUUGAGUUGAGUCGUUGAGCGGCCCUUCUCUUAGAAUAAGGUCUCUAAUCUCUAUACUUCUGCCAGAAAAAAAAUUUAAAAAAUAGUAAUAAUAAUAAUUGCAAUUUCAGAGAAUUUGCAGUGUCAGUGCAGCGGCAACUUUAUUGUAAAUUAAGCCAAGAAAAGAAGCUGAGCCUCUGAGUGAGUCAUUGAGUUAUAUGUUUAAAUUAAAUCCAAAGGCGUGAUUAAAGUAGCCUUCAGUUAAUUCUUUAAAAAUUGGUGAACUCGGCAGUGUACUAUACUACUAUUCUGACUCUGAAUUAUCAAAACCACCAUUUUUAGGUCUUGUGCAUUUAAUUUUAUAAGCACUGCAAUAUAUUUGCUGUCAUUUUCCUUAAACAAUCAAAUUUUUAGAGGGAAUCCCCAGAUUUGACGAUGAUUUCCUGACAAAUUUUCCUGGAAAAAUCCCUAUCCCAUUAGUAUUUUUUUCUUUAAUUUUUUUUUUCAAGCAUUAUCUGAGUUAUGUAAUAAAAUAUAUAAUUAGUGUUUACACUAAAGCGGUUAGAUCUUAGCUGGGAUUUCUGACACAAGGGCAGUUCAACUUUAAGAUUUUACUUUUACUAGAAUGUUGGAAGAUUUAUCAAGUUUUUUCUAACAUGUUAAAGACAACAGCUGUAGUUCUUUUAGCUACCUUAGCCUAGCUCAGCUUUUUUUUUUUUUUUUUUGACUAAAACAGCUACAGUUUACAAUCACACUUUUUAUAAUAAAUUUCAUUUGGGUUUUUGGUAAGAGAUUUGGAUUCUGAUAAUGCAAUUGGUUAUUAUCUGAUAAGAAUAUAUGUAUAAUUAAAAUUUAAUUGUAUAUAAAGGUAGUAGAUUCUAAAAAAGUGAGCAUAAUUCAAUUUAGCACAGAAGGAAUUUUAUAAUACAUUAAAAAGUAAUAUAACUAAUUAAUAAUUGCAUGAUACAUGUAAUUAAAAUUUAUAUAACUACUACUUGUGUUUG